rnacentral:rRNA from 1 species
CCUACGGGAGGCUGCAGUGGGGAAUAUUGGACAAUGGGGGCAACCCUGAUCCAGCCAUGCCGCGUGUGUGAAGAAGGCCCUCGGGUUGUAAAGCACUUUCAGUGAGGAAGAACGCCUGGUGGUUAAUACCCAUCAGGAAAGACAUCACUCACAGAAGAAGCACCGGCUAACUCCGUACCAGCAGCCGCGGUAAUACGGAGGGUGCGAGCGUUAAUCGGAAUUACUGGGCGUAAAGCGCGCGUAGGUGGCUUGAUAAGCCGGUUGUGAAAGCCCCGGGCUCAACCUGGGAACGGCAUCCGGAACUGUCAAGCUAGAGUGCAGGAGAGGAAGGUAGAAUUCCCGGUGUAGCGGUGAAAUGCGUAGAGAUCGGGAGGAAUACCAGUGGCGAAGGCGGCCUUCUGGACUGACACUGACACUGAGGUGCGAAAGCGUGGGUAGCAAACAGGAUUAGAUACCCUAGUAGUC